GAUACCCCUGUAGUCCUGGCCGUAAACGAUGAACACUAGGUGUCGGGGGAAUCGACCCCCUCGGUGUCGUAGCCAACGCGUUAAGUGUUCCGCCUGGGGAGUACGCACGCAAGUGUGAAACUCAAAGGAAUUGACGGGGGCCCGCACAAGCGGUGGAGUAUGUGGUUUAAUUCGAUGCAACGCGAAGAACCUUACCAGGGUUUGACAUCCUGCGAAUCCCUUGGAAGCGAGGGAGUGCCUUCGGGAACGCAGUGACAGGUGGUGCAUGGCUGUCGUCAGCUCGUGUCGUGAGAUGUUGGGUUAAGUCCCGCAACGAGCGCAACCCACGUCUUUAGUUGCCAGCAUUUAGUUGGGCACUCUAGAGAGACUGCCGGUGAUAAACCGGAGGAAGGUGUGGAUGACGUCGAGUCAUCAUGCCCCUUACAUCCUGGGCUACACACGUACUACAAUGCUACGGACAAAGGGCAGCAAACUCGCGAGAGCUAGCCAAUCCCAUAAACCGUGGCUCAGUUCAGAUCGUAGGCUGCAACUCGCCUACGUGAAGGAGGAAUCGCUAGUAAUCGCAGGUCAGCAUACUGCGGUGAAUACGUUCCCGGGCCUUGUACACACCGCCCGUCACACCAUGGAAGUUGGCCACGCCCGAAGUCGUUACUCCAACCCUUGUGGAGGAGGAUGCCGAAGGUGGGGCUGAUGACUGGGGUGAAGUCGUAACAAGGUAGCCGUACCGGAAGGUGC
rnacentral:rRNA from 1 species